rnacentral:rRNA from 1 species
AUUGAACGCUGGCGGCAGGCCUAACACAUGCAAGUCGAGCGAGCGGCGGACGGGUGAGUAAUGUAUGGGGACUGCCCGAUCGAGGGGGAUACCUACUGGAAACGGUAGCUAAUACCGCAUACUAUCGAAUAACCCAUAUGGGAUUAGCUAGUAGGUGAGGUAAAGGCUCACCUAGGCGACCAUCCCUAGCUGGUCUGAGAGGCUGAUCAGCCACACUGGGACUGAGACACGGCCCAGACUCCUACGGAGGCAGCAGUGGGGAAUAUUGCACAAUUGGCGCAAGCCUGAUGCAGCCAUGCCGCGUGUAUGAAGAAGGCCCUAGGGUUGUAAAGUACUUUCAGUCGGGAGGCGUUACCGACAGAAGAAGCACCGGCUAACUCCGUGCCAGCAGCCGCGGUAAUUC